GGACCCGCACAAGCGGUGGAUGAUGUGGUUUAAUUCGAUGCAACGCGAAAAACCUUACCCACCUUUGACAUGUACGGAAUUCCGCAGAGAUGUGGAAGUGCUCGAAAGAGAGCCGUAACACAGGUGCUGCAUGGCUGUCGUCAGCUCGUGUCGUGAGAUGUUGGGUUAAGUCCCGCAACGAGCGCAACCCUUGUCAUUAGUUGCUACAUUCAGUUGGGCACUCUAAUGAGACUGCCGGUGACAAACCGGAGGAAGGUGGGGAUGACGUCAAGUCCUCAUGGCCCUUAUAGGUGGGGCUACACACGUCAUACAAUGGCCGGUACAAAGGGCUGCCAACCCGCGAGGGGGAGCCAAUCCCAUAAAACCGGUCGUAGUCCGGAUCGCAGUCUGCAACUCGACUGCGUGAAGUCGGAAUCGCUAGUAAUCGUGGAUCAGAAUGUCACGGUGAAUACGUUCCCGGGUCUU
rnacentral:rRNA from 1 species